AGUUUGAUCCUGGCUCAGGACGAACGCUGGCGGCGUGCCUAAUACAUGCAAGUCGAGCGGACAGAUGGGAGCUUGCUCCCUGAUGUUAGCGGCGGACGGGUGAGUAACACGUGGGUAACCUGCCUGUAAGACUGGGAUAACUCCGGGAAACCGGGGCUAAUACCGGAUGCUUGUUUGAACCGCAUGGUUCAGACAUAAAAGGUGGCUUCGGCUAUCACUUACAGAUGGACCCGCGGCGCAUUAGCUAGUUGGUGAGGUAAUGGCUCACCAAGGCGACGAUGCGUAGCCGACCUGAGAGGGUGAUCGGCCACACUGGGACUGAGACACGGCCCAGACUCCUACGGGAGGCAGCAGUAGGGAAUCUUCCGCAAUGGACGAAAGUCUGACGGAGCAACGCCGCGUGAGUGAUGAAGGUUUUCGGAUCGUAAAGCUCUGUUGUUAGGGAAGAACAAGUGUCGUUCAAAUAGGGCGGCACCUUGACGGUACCUAACCAGAAAGCCACGGCUAACUACGUGCCAGCAGCCGCGGUAAUACGUAGG
rnacentral:rRNA from 1 species